CAGUUGUCCAUUCUCUCUCCUAGAGGUUCUCUAUCUAAAAGUGAUUGCAUGCAGUUUUUUAAUGAUUGAGCUUCUGCUCGAUUAUCGAGCUUAAUGGGAAUUGAUAUUAAGGUCCUUUGACCGAAGGUUUUUACAUUAGCUCUUUCAUAAAUUGUGAAUUGUACGGAGAAAAUUCGGAUAGUGGGGAUAACGCAUCUUCAAUCACGUCGGGUCUUUGACGUUCGGAAGAAAUCGAGUUGUUAGAGGAAUCAUCGGAGUUAUUAGCAGCGAAAAAAGGGGCGUUUUUUAAACCGAAGGGCAUUCUUUUAAAUUGGUAAUGUCCAUAAGGAGUUGAAAAAGCAGUUUUGGGAGCAUCCUUGGAAGCCAUGGGAAUUUGAUGGAAUCCGGAAGCUAAAUCGAGGACAGAAAAAUAUUUGGCAGACCCUAAUUGAUCAAGGAUAUCGGUUAUAUUAGGGAGAGGAUAAGCGUCUCCUAUUGUUUUUUCAUUGAGGCGACAGUAAUCGAUGACCAUUCACCAUCUCUUAUUACCUGAAAUGGAAGACCGAAAUAUUGUGUCCGUCAUAUCUUGGGAUCGAAUCAACUACAUCUUUAAGACGAAUCGGAGAAGUGUCCGUCGGAUUGGAUCUAUAAGGGGAUUUCUUACGGGGAUAUGGUCGUAAGUCGUCUGUUGAGUAGAAGGUAAAUCUGCGUUCGAGGUGGAAAGCUGGGCAACGCGUUGAUUUAAAUUUUCUAUCUGGAAAGUAUAUACCCAGAUAGCAAAAUGAUGCAAACUUUACGUAAAGUUUGCAGCAAAUUCGAGCAUGCCUUUGUAGCAAAAUUACGACAAGGUGUGUCCGCAAAAAGCUUAUCUUUUGCUGACAAUGCUUGUCGCAAUAGCAUGACGCAUAUUUCACGUAAAUAAUACGGCAAAUUUUGCGAUGUACAGUACAACAGCAAAUUUGUAGCAAGAACAGGGCAAACCUUGCCACGCACGACAGGAUAACAAAUUUAUGGCAAGAAUAAAACAAACCUUGCCUUGCAUAGCAUGACAGCAAAUUUGUGGCAAGAAUAGAGCAUAUCUUGCCACGCACGGCAGGAUAACAAAUUUAUGGCAAGAAUAGAACAAACCUUGCCUUGCAUAGCAUGACAGCAAAUUUGUGGCAAGAACAGAGCAAACCUUGCCACGCACGGCAGGAUAACAAAUUUAUGGCAAGAAUAGAACAAACCUUGCCUUGCAUAGCAUGACAGCAAAUUUGUGGCAAGAACAGAGCAAACCUUGCCACGCAUGCCAGGAUAGCAAAUUUGUAGCAAAAAUAGACAAAGCUUAUCGUAAUAAUGCGGAUCGUAUAAAUUAAUGAGUUCCAUUAAACAAGUUUUAAUAAAAUUAA